UCUGGUGGCGAUGGCACGGUGGGCACACCUGGUCCCAUCCCGAACCCAGCAGUUAAGCACCGUAGUGGCGAAGGUAUCCCCGGAAGGGGCGAGAAUAGCGCGCUGCCGGGC
rnacentral:rRNA from 1 species